rnacentral:rRNA from 1 species
GGAAUAUUGGACAAUGGGCGCAAGCCUGAUCCAGCCAUGCCGCGUGUGUGAAGAAGGCCUUAUGGUUGUAAAGCACUUUAAGCGAGGAGGAGGCUACUGAAGUUAAUACCUUCAGAUAGUGGACGUUACUCGCAGAAUAAGCACCGGCUAACUCUGUGCCAGCAGCCGCGGUAAUACAGAGGGUGCAAGCGUUAAUCGGAUUUACUGGGCGUAAAGCGCGCGUAGGCGGCUAAUUAAGUCAAAUGUGAAAUCCCCGAGCUUAACUUGGGAAUUGCAUUCGAUACUGGUUAGCUAGAGUGUGGGAGAGGAUGGUAGAAUUCCAGGUGUAGCGGUGAAAUGCGUAGAGAUCUGGAGGAAUACCGAUGGCGAAGGCAGCCAUCUGGCCUAACACUGACGCUGAGGUGCGAAAGCAUGGGGAGCAAACAGGAUUAGAUACCCCGG